rnacentral:lncRNA from 1 species
GCCUGCCUGGCCUCUGUCCAGCUUUACUGCUGGUUUCCCAGGCCUGCCCACCUGCCCACUAUCUCCCUAGACUGGGGCAAGCUGGAGCUGGAGCUGGUGCUGAAGGGGUCCUUUGAAGACACGCAGACGUCUGCCCUGGGCACAGCCUCUGCCUUCCGCUUCCAUUACCUGGCAGCCCAGGACACAGAGCUGCAUGGGCGCCUGAAGAGCUCCAGAAGCAGCGGUUGGAACACAGACAGCUCAGCUGGGCACUUUACUGUGCCCCUGCAGUCCUUGGCCGGGGGGAGAGAGGUGACCAUCUGUGUUCCUGCUACAGAUGUGAGUGGCCUCAACUGCAGGGAAGAGCUGUGAGAAUAAAGACAGACUUGUCCAAGGAGAGACCCGUGUCCCUCAGGAUGAGGGC